CCUACGGGAGGCAGCAGUGAGGAAUAUUGGUCAAUGGCCGAAAGCCUGAACCAGCCAAGUCGCGUGAGGGAAGACGGCCCUAUGGGUUGUAAACCUCUUUUGUCGGGGAGGAAAACGCACCACGUGUGGUUCAUUGCGCGUACCCCAUGAAUAAGCAUCGGCUAACUCCGUGCCAGCAGCCGCGGUAAUACGGAGGAUGCGAGCGUUAUCCGGAUUUAUGGGGUUUAGGGGGUGCGUAGGCGGUGGUGUAAGUUAGUGGUAAAAUGUGGGGGCUUAACCCUGUACGGCCGUUGAAACUGCAGUACUGGAGUGCAGGAGAGGUAGGCGGAAUACGUGGAGUAGCGGUGAAAUGCAUAGAUAUCACGCAGAACCCCGAUGGCGAAGGCAGCAUACCGGAGUGUAACUGACGCUGAUGCACGAGAGCGUGGGUAGUGAACAGGAUUAGAUACCCGAGUAGUC
rnacentral:rRNA from 1 species